ACUCCUACGGGAGGCAGCAGUGGGGAAUUUUGGACAAUGGGCGAAAGCCUGAUCCAGCAAUGCCGCGUGUGUGAAGAAGGCCUUCGGGUUGUAAAGCACUUUUGUCCGGAAAGAAAUGGCUCUGGUUAAUACCCGGAGUUGAUGACGGUACCGGAAGAAUAAGGACCGGCUAACUACGUGCCAGCAGCCGCGGUAAUACGUAGGGUCCAAGCGUUAAUCGGAAUUACUGGGCGUAAAGCGUGCGCAGGCGGUUGUGCAAGACCGAUGUGAAAU
rnacentral:rRNA from 1 species